rnacentral:rRNA from 1 species
CCUACGGGAGGCAGCAGUGAGGAAUAUUGGUCAAUGGCCGGAAGGCUGAACCAGCCAUGCCGCGUGAAGGUCAGUGCUCUAUAGGCUUUUAACUUCUUUUGUUCGGGAGCCAUAAUGGUCACGUUUGGCCAGACGAGAGUACCGUACGAAUAAGCAUCGGCUAACUCCGUGCCAGCAGCCGCGGGAAUACGGGGGAUGCAAGCGUUAUCCGGAUUUAUUGGGUUUAAAGGGUGCGUAGGCUGUGAGGUAAGUCAGCGGUGAAAUGCCCCCGCUCAACGGGGUGAAGCGCCAUUGAUACUGGCUGGCUGGAGUGCGGAUGCAGUGGGAGGAAUGUGUGGUGUAGCGGUGAAAUGCAUAGAUAUCACACAGAACACCGAUUGCGAAGGCAUCUCACGAAUCCGCGAUUGACGCUGAUGCACGAAAGCGUGGGUAUCAAACAGGAUUAGAUACCCCAGUAGUC